UGGUUAAAUGCCCUAAAUUGAAACUCCUCCUUCCUUGGUUUCUCUCUUGCAACCCCCUUCCCCUCCGAAACCUUCUCUUCGCAGCACCCCACCAGCCCCAGCCGAUUCUCCCUCUUUCCGUUGCCGGCAGCUGACUAGCUCCUCCCUCAGCCACCACCCUCCAGCGUCCAGUCGAAGUUGUCCAUCGCCGUCGAGCCCAGCCGUUUGUGUAACAAGACGUCGCCGCUCGUCUCCUUCGUCCAAGCCAGAAGGAGCGUUCGCUACUCGCCGUUCGCGCCGACCAGACACCGCUGCACAUCGUUUGGAGUCGCCUAACCUUGCGCCAGACGUCGUUCGCCGUACAGCCGUGCUGCCCUUGUUCUAGAUCUAGUUAGUCCUCCAUAGGAUCCACUGUUUUCAUCCUCAACCAUCGCCGUUCCUUGGGAUUUUUGCCAGAUCGUGGAGUUGGGUGAAAUUUUGGGCUCGAGUGAAGCAUCAAUUUGAGCAAACAAUUCGAGUAAGCCAUUUUUCAUGAAUCUGAGGGCUUGUUAGUCUAGGAGUUAACCAUGAAGAAUUUUAGCAUCUUCUGUAAUGAUUUGCUUGUUUGAAUGUUUGAUGAUGAGAUUGAUUUUGAAGUGUUGGAAGGAGUUGAGUUGCUGUCCAAUAGGUUUGAGACCAAUCUUGGCAAGAUUUUGGUAAGUUUGGAGGUUAGUAUUAAUAGUUCUUUGUUACCAUUGAAGUAUUGGUCUAAUAAUUGAGUUAAUUUCAAUUUUUGAUGUUCAAUUCAAAGAUUUCAAGGGAUUGGAGCCACUGUCCAGCAAAGUUAUCGAUGUUUGGAUGUUUUGAUGUAUUGGGGUCUUGAAACUCUUUUGGAAUUCUUAUAUAGUUGCUGGAAUUUGGGUAUGUAACCAUUAUUAUUGAACUUUUCGUAGGUUGGAUUACUUAGUUGUAGUUUUGAAGUGACAUUCAAAUCAAGCCACACUUUGGGUAAUCUAUUUAGAGUUAAUUAGUUAUUUUGGUGAAUAAAAUUUUGAAGAAAUUUUUUAUUGCUGGUAGAUAAGAUUGGGCUUCCAAUAUUCUCUUCUACUUAUUUAUUCCUGUAUUAGCUUUCCAUUAGAUAUGCACUUUAAUUGCCUUUAUAGAGGGAUUACAACUGUGUCAAGUCGCUUUCGCUUGAAAGUUGUGAAAGUUGGGGGAAAGGUUUCUGCAUUCUUUUAUUUUAAAUUUUAGCAUAUGCUUGAUUUGUUGAUAAUCUUCUUCUUCUUUAUUAUAUUUUCUCAAAUCUCUCUCAUCUUCCUUCGUUUUGCAGCAAAAGGUAAUUGUUCCUCCUGAAAUUGGAUAUGGUCAAAAGAGAAUGAAUAAAAUCCCAAUAAGUCCCUAACUUUUAAGUUGUAGAUAUUUUUUUAAGUUUCGAGUAUGAUAUUUUUCCAUUGCAUAAAGGAAGCCAAUCAUGUACAUUUUUCCUUGUGCAUGACUUUUUGUCAUUGUUAUAUCUUGACACUUAUUUCUAUAUUUUGAAAUUUAAUGUUAUCACCAUUUAUUUUAUUUUGCA